rnacentral:rRNA from 1 species
GACCUAGUAAUAGGUAUGCUUUAGGAGGGGCUUGCGCCAUAUUAGUUAGUUGGUAGGGUAAUGGCCUACCAAGACGAUGAUGUGUAGCUGGACUGAGAGGUUGAACAGCCACAUUGGGACUGAGACACGGCCCAAACUCCUACGGGAGGCAGCAGUAGGGAAUUUUCGGCAAUGGAGGAAACUCUGACCGAGCAACGCCGCGUGAAUGACGAAGUACUUCGGUAUGUAAAGUUCUUUUAUCAAGGAAGAAAAGCAAAUGGCGAACCAUUUGUUUGCCGGUACUUGAUGAAUAAGCCCCGGCUAAUUAUGUGCCAGCAGCCGCGGUAAGACAUAAGGGGCAAGUGUUAUCCGGAAUUAUUGGGCGUAAAGGGUGCGUAGGCGGUCUAGUAAGUCAGUGGUGUAAUGGCAACGCUUAACGUUGUCCGGCUAUUGAAACUGCUAAACUUGAGUUAGAUAGAGGCGAGUGGAAUUCCAUGUGUAGCGGUAAAAUGCGUAAAUAUAUGGAGGAACACCAGAGGCGUAGGCGGCUCGCUGGGUCUUAACUGACGCUGAGGCACGAAAGCGUGGGGAGCAAACAGGAUUAGAUACCCUGGUAGUCCACGCCGUAAACGAUGAGUACUAAGUGUCGGGUUAAACCGGUACUGAAGUUAACACAUUAAGUACUCCGCCUGAGUAGUACGUACGCAAGUAUGAAACUUAAAGGAAUUGACGGGACUCCGCACAAGCGGUGGAUCAUGUUGUUUAAUUCGAAGAUACCCGAAAAACCUUACCAGGUCUUGACAUGUUUUUGCAAAAUGAUAGUAAUAUCGUGGAGGUUACCAGAAACACAGGUGGUGCAUGGUUGUCGUCAGCUCGUGUCGUGAGAUGUUAGGUUAAGUCCUAAAACGAGCGAAACCCUUAUCGUUAGUUGCCAGCACGUUAUGGUGGGGACUUUAACGAGACUGCCAAUGAUAAAUUGGAGGAAGGUGAGGAUCACGUCAAAUCAGCAUGCCCCUUAUGACCUGGGCUACAAACGUGAUACAAUGGCUGUUACAAAGGGUAGCUGAAACGCAAGUUCUUGGCCAAUCCCCAAAAACAGUCCCAGUCCGGAUUGAAGUCUGCAACUCGACUUCAUGAAGUUGGAAUCGCUAGUAAUC